rnacentral:tRNA from 2 species
GCCGGAGUGGCGGAAUGGCAGACGCGGUGCACUCAAAAUGCAUUGCCGCAAGGCGUGGGAGUUCGAGUCUCCCCUUCGGCACCA